UACGAAGGGGGCUAGCGUUGCUCGGAAUCACUGGGCGUAAAGGGUGCGUAGGCGGGGUUUUAAGUCAGGGGUGAAAUCCUGGAGCUCAACUCCAGAACUGCCUUUGAUACUGAAGAUCUUGAGUCCGGGAGAGGUGAGUGGAACUGCGAGUGUAGAGGUGAAAUUCGUAGAUAUUCGCAAGAACACCAGUGGCGAAGGCGGCUCACUGGCCCGGUACUGACGCUGAGACGCGAAAGCGUGGGGAGCAAACAGG
rnacentral:rRNA from 1 species